rnacentral:lncRNA from 1 species
UCUUUAAUGCUUAUGGUCUUUGCCUGUUUUGUCCCCUACAGAUAGGCAGUCGUACAGUAUACGUUGUUGAAUUUACUAUAAAGGAAACCUCAUGCCCCAGAGCUGCUCGUGUGGGAAAUGUGUCAGCUUGUCAAUUUCUUCCAUACGGACAUGCGCGCACAGGAUUUUGCACAGGCCGUGUAGUUAAAGACUCAGAAGCAAAUGACGACACUGAGGUGGAAGUGGAAUUAUGCAAAAUCUAUGACAUUUGUCAUGGUAGGGAUUUCUUCCAUCAUCAUCACCAUCAUCCUUUCCACCAUCAGCAUGGUUCAGAAGAACACCAUCACCGCUGCAAUGUGUCUAAGCAUGAAUGUGGACCUCCACAUUCUGGUCCACCACACAAGCAUUGCCAUCCUUUCCACCACCACGGACACGGACACGGACAUGGACAUGGACAUGGACAUGGACACGGACACGGACACGGACACGGACACGGACACGGACACGGACAUGGACACGGACACGGUCAUGGACACGGUCACAAACAUGGACAUGGUCACGGUCACAGAUAUCCUCCACCUCCUGAUCACCAUCGCCGUGAAUCUGCAAGGUCAUCUGGUCCCCAUAAUUCCUCUGAAGAACAUCCUUGUCCUCCACCUGGACCUCAUUAUCCCCCCCCACCCCCGGGUGGCCCACACCAUUUUCCUCCUAGUAAUUGUCCCCCACCUCCUCCUGGACCACCACCACCACCUCAUCAUCAUGGUAAUCUUCCUCCCCCUCCCAGUGGGCCCCAUCAUCCUCCCCCACACNCACCACCUCCACCACCUCAUGGACCUCAUGGACAUGACCAUAAGCACCACCAUCAGCACCACGGCAGACAUAACAACACCUCUGAUGCAGGAAAAGGAGAGUCCUCAGAAGAGCAUGAUCCAUUCACAGACUUUCGUCCUUUCCAUAACAAGGUUGGUGCUAUCUACAUCAUCCCAAUUGUGAAUCAACAGGAUACUCUGCAGCCUCCUGGCACAAACUUCCAUGACCAUCCACACUGUCCCCAUGGAGGCAAAGACAUCCAUGAAAAGCCGGUCAUUCAGCCGUUUCCAGAUCUUUCAGAAUCAAAAUCAUGCCCAGGAAAGCCCAAACAUGAUCUACCAGGUAUUUUGUCCUUAUAUCCAUCAAAUGCAUCUCCUGGAGAUGAAAAGCAUUGAUAACCUUACAAGUACACAUCCCAGUUGAAUAAUCACAGAGUACUCGAUAUGGUACUAUAAAAUAAAACAGAAAAUAAAAUAUAAUAUCUACA